rnacentral:rRNA from 1 species
UACGUAGGGUGCAAGCGUUGUCCGGAAUUAUUGGGCGAAAGAGCUCGUAGGCGGUCUGUCACGUCGGCUGUGAAAACCUGGGGCUCAACUCCGGGCCUGCAGCCGAUACGGGCAGACUAGAGUUCGGCAGGGGAGACUGGAAUUACCGGUGUAGCGGUGAAAUGCGUAGAUAUCGGUAGGAACACCAGUGGCGAAGGCGGUCUCCCUGGGGGCAUUCUUGACGCUGAGGCGCGAAAGCUGGGGGGGGAGCGAAACGGGGAUU